UGCUUUUACUCCGCUUGUCAUUAACACUUUUUUUCUGUUAAAUUCAUCGGGACAAAGUCAGCUUGUUUAACGUGUUUGUCUCAAAUUCAAAGUUAAAACGCAUGACGUCAGGCGCGGCGCCAACUCGCAAACGCUAACAUGCUAGAGCUCUUUGCCUGUUGCUGGGGUACUUUAGACAGCUCGGCUUUUGAUUGGUGCAUUUCAAAUGUAGCGCAAACGUGAUUGGUUGUUGUACUGACACUUGACAAAACUGACCGUUUCCAGAAAUUUCUCCUCUGGUCCCAGCAGGACAUUAUUCGGCCGACAACCAGGACCUGCUAAUGAAGUUAGGUGAGGCAGGUGUAAUGGUGACUGAAGUCGAAGCCCAGAGAUUCAGAGGUAACAGCAGUGUAAUGGUUCUCAAUCUGGCUUGAGGGGAAUCCCUACUGUCUAAACUCUACCUGGAAGCAAGGCAAGAGGCUCUCACAGAGGAUCUACCAGAUAUCGACUUCAGAGCAACCCUCAUCUUUUUGCCACACAUCUUCAAGGAGAACAUUGAGUGCUUUAUUACUCUUGGAAAGUUCCUGCCACUCCACACCCAACUAUCCAGUUGACAGAUGAAGACUUGAAAAUGGCCUUCACUAGGAGAGCUCCGAACGUUGUGAAAGUGGACGGCAUCGAGUCACAGCUCAGCAAUUGACGAGGGAAUGUUUUGGCAAAUCAUUACAUACAUUUUGAACAUUGAUACCUUGUGGAUUCUUUGUGGUAAAAUGUUGGUUCCUCUGUCACUUUCAUGCAUAAAGUGUAAAGGUUGAUUGAGAAUGGACUUUACUAAAACCAGGUGAUGAAAUGGACUACCGAAUAUUUGACACUUAUUCUGUGGAUAACAGUUUUAUGUCACACUUCAACAUAGUAUUUUAAAUGUACAAAAUUGACAAAAUCAUGUGAAAAUCUUAGAUCUUCUGUCAUGAGUGUUAUUUUAAUUUAUGCAGUUUUAAGGUUGGUGGAGAAUGGACUUGCUUGCAAUGGACAAUUUUACAUUGUUUAGUGUAGAUGAUAUAUAGUUGAAUACACAGUUUUUUUGACAAAAUUCAUAGCAAAGCUCAGUAAAAAAGUUUUGGGAAGUUUAACACAUAAUAGAGCAUGAACUGUUUUAAUAAUCAUUUGAGUCACCCUAAUAAUACAGUGGAGGCAAUUCAAAUAAAACUUCUUCUGAUAUAGCUGGGAAGGAAUACAUGAAAAUUCAUGAAGAUUGGGCACUUCUGGAAAAGUUUUUUAUUUUUGGCAGGGUGUUAGAUAUGGGCCUAUGGUUUUCAAAAAUCCAUGGAUACAAGUUGGGGCGGCCCUCCUAGUGGCAGUUAUCCAUAAAAUCCAAAAUGGCCCCCGCCGAAAAUAACACAAAAAACCCCAAAACAUACUUAA